rnacentral:rRNA from 1 species
AUGCUUCAAGCUUCCCCUCAGUCCCCAAUAAUGAUGAGCGGCGUCUCGUUUGUUGUCUCGCGGGAUGUCUGUCGCCGCCGCCUAAGUCAUUCCCAUGAAAUGGAGGUGCAGCCAGAAGCCGUCAGGGACUGGUCCGAGCUGCCUCUUGAUGUGCUUGCUUCAGUCUUUACCAAACUCGGCGCAGUUGAUAUUCUCAUGGGUGCAGGCCUUGUGUGCCACUCAUGGCUCGAGGCGGCAAAAGUACCUAGUUUAUGGCGAUAUGUCGACAUGGAGCACCAUGAUGUCUUGCGAGGGAAGAAGAAAAAGAGCCACGAUGUCUUGUGUGCAAUGGCAAAAGCCGCCGUGGACCGCUCCAAUGGGGAGCUCGAGGUGUUCGCAGGGAGCGGGUUUGUUACUGAUCAGCUUCUCAACUAUAUCGCAGAAAGAUCACCCUCCCUUAAGAGCCUCAGCCUUGACUACUGCAAUGUCUCCAACGAAGCAUUCACUGAGCUGAUAAUCAAGCUUCCUCUGCUCGAAGAACUUCUCAUUUCCCUAUGUCCAUUUGUUGAUGGCGACGCAUAUGAGGUCACCAGCAGAGCAUGUGCGCAGCUGAAGCGUCUCAUGUUGCGGCAAGGGUCGUAUGGGGGUACAAGAGAUGGGGCACUUGGAAUCGAGAUGAUGCACGAGCUGCGAUACCUUACUCUCGUCGGUUGCAAUAUCACGACAGAGGAGCUGGUUGCCAUCAUCGAUGGCUGCCCUCACAUGGAGCGCCUCUGCGUGCGCGACUGUUGCAACAUCAUUGUGGAUGGAACCCUGCGAGCGAAGUGUUCAAGGAUCAAGACGCUGAUUCUCCCCCCUUUGCAGCAUUUGCAGCAGUUGUACUCCCGUUACUGUUUUCACCCUGAUGAUAGCCUUUUCACGGACAAGUUUGACGAUUGGAGAUCUUCCUAA